AUAAAGCCUGGCGAAUCGUCAUCCUAUGGUUCGCCAUUCUCUCCCGGAAAGUGCAUGUGGUCAUCCCAACAUAGGACAACCCACAAGGGCACGUGGAUGGCGAGGGUAGGAUCAGUAGCGGAUCUUGCUACGGGCACACAGGAUUUUCGCCUGGGGCGCCACAAGGGCUAGAACCGGCCCUGAGUAGGAUGAGGAGUGGCAGGGACCAGUACCACCUCCUCUAGUACAGACUCCACGCCUGGGUGGUUGAUACUCUCCAAGUGGCUGCCCACAAGGAGGUUUGUGUGGCCCUUCCACUUGUUGUUCCUCAGUCCUCCUCUCUGAAGAAGCCAGUGGAGGCUGCGGUGGUGGUCAUCAUCUGCCAGUUGGUCCUUUAAAGAUAUGUAUCCAGUUGAAUAUAAACUUUGUUUUUUGGGAGUAAGCGCAACACAAACCUGCAAAUGUACUUACCUGCCUGUUGGUCAGGCUGCCUUUGGGGAGGGUGGGAGGCUUUGGAUUUCCCUUUCUGACUUUGCCCUGUGAUGAUAUAUUUGGAGUGAGUUUAUUGUUUAAAAAUAAAACAUGUUUUCCUUGAGGAAAGAAUAUGUUUUUACAGUUAUUUGUUUUCCAAAAACUUCUAUGCACAUUUGGCAAAUAUAUAUGUCCUUACCAUGAGCAGAGCAGAC